CCUAACACAUGCAAGUCGAACGGUAACAGGAAACAGCUUGCUGUUUCGCUGACGAGUGGCGGACGGGUGAGUAAUGUCUGGGAAACUGCCUGAUGGAGGGGGAUAACUACUGGAAACGGUAGCUAAUACCGCAUAACGUCGCAAGACCAAAGAGGGGGACCCUCGGGCCUCUUGCCAUCGGAUGUGCCCAGAUGGGAUUAGCUUGUUGGUGGGGUAACGGCUCACCAAGGCGACGAUCCCUAGCUGGUCUGAGAGGAUGACCAGCCACACUGGAACUGAGACACGGUCCAGACUCCUACGGGAGGCAGCAGUGGGGAAUAUUGCACAAUGGGCGCAAGCCUGAUGCAGCCAUGCCGCGUGUAUGAAGAAGGCCUUCGGGUUGUAAAUACC
rnacentral:rRNA from 1 species